rnacentral:lncRNA from 1 species
GUGGCAACUUGGUCGGGUCUGCUUCCGCGCUGUGGAGGUUUUGUUUUUUACUCUUUGCAGUAAAUCUUGCUGCUGCUCACUCUUUGGGUCCGCACUGCUUUUGUGAGCUGUAACACUCACGGAGAAGGUCUGCAGGUUCAUUUCUGAGCCAGCGAGACCACCAGCCCGCCAGGAGGAAGACGCUGCCGAACAUCAGAAGGAACAAACUCCAAACACGCCGCCUUUAAGAACUGUAACACCUGGAGGGUCCGCGGCUUCAUGAAGUCGCAGAGACCAAGAACCCACCAAUUCCGGACACAAAUGCAUCAUUGCACUCCAGCCUGGGUGACAGAGUGAAACCCUGUCUCAAAAAUAAGCUUCCAUUGACGACCAGCUUUGGCUGUUCCAACUCACCACAGCCUCUGAAAGACCCAUGCUCUCUUUGGAUUGCUUGGUACCUGCAGCACGUUUCCAUGCCUGGGAGGUAAGGACCACAAGUCUCAGAAGAGUAGGAAGUGCCCAGCAUCACACAGGAAGCAAGUUACAGAACCAAGGGCUCUGUUCAUAAACUGUUCAACAUCUUUUAUCACAUAAGGGGAGGUGCCCGCAACGAUGGCCUGCUGCAGAAUACAGAGUGGCUUUUUCAUGUUUGAUGGGUUGUAAGAAACAAAAAGCCAACUAUGGCAUCUAUGAAGACUAUGCAACAGAGACUAUUUAUAUUCUGGGAUAAUCUAGCAAAUGAGCUGCGCAUCAAAAUAAUGGAUUAGUGGUUUAAAAACGUGUUCACUGUUAAAAGGAAAACAUGAAAAUGAUGAAAGCUAAAAUAAUGGUCCAUCAUACAAAAGUAUAUCUUUUUACACUAUUAAAACCAACAUAAGCCAUUUAUUUUCAGUAAAUAUAAUUGGAUAACAAUCGUUAAUUUAAACUGUAUUGAUUUUAUUUUUGUUUAAUUGAAAAAUUGGUUUUGAAUUUACCUGUAUAUGAGAGUUAUAAGGAGUUAAUUCUUAGUUUUAUGUUUAUGUAUAUUUAAGUUACACAGAAAUAAUUUCAGUCAACAUGUGAAAUCUGGAAGACUAAAAUUUUCUAUAUAAAAGAUCUACACAUU